UACAGAGGGGGCAAGCGUUGUUCGGAAUUACUGGGCGUAAAAGGGCGCGUAGGCGGCCUUCUAAGUCGAACGUGAAAUCCCCCGGCUUAACCUGGGAACUGCGUCUGAUACUGGGAGGCUAGAGUAUGGGAGAGGGAUGUGGAAUUCCUGGUGUAGCGGUGAAAUGCGCAGAUAUCAGGAGGAACACCUAUUGCGAAGGCAGCUCGCUGGGACGUAACUGACGCUGAGACGCGAAAGCGUGGGGAGCAAACAGG
rnacentral:rRNA from 1 species